CUCAUAACAACACCAAAUCAUGUGAUGCACAAUACAGAUAUAAAACAAUAGAAUGAUGCUCUGUGCAACAAAUUUAUAUUUCACUUUUAACUUUCUACAAAUUUGUUAUUAUCUUCAACCCUUAAAUAUUAUAUAGAUAAACUAUGAGACUAUGGAUGGCUAGUCCAACUUUGCAUCUUCCAAAAUCUGAAUUCCAAAACAGCUAAUUUUAUGGCACUGAUAGAUUUUAUAUGGUGAAGCAUUUUAACUGAUAUGUACAAAAUUAAACUGUGUCACUAUUUA